CUUGUAACGCGGCGCCUCAGCGCCAGCAAAAUCCCCCCGCUGCAGCCGCGGCGGGCGGGCCUCGUUAUCAGGGAAGCGUUCACCUGGCGAGAAGGGGUCCGUAUACACACAUAUGAGGUCCCAAAGCAUCACCCACGUCAAGUAGGUGACCAGGUGGAUUUACCGGAUCUUCCUGACCAUGGCUGAAUGGACCCAGUCCCAGACCCUCUGAGGAUCAACAAAGUUCACAUCACCUUCUUGUAUAUUCAUAAUCUGACCACACGAAGUGACAAUCGAUCGAGUUAUAGAUUUUUUUUAUUGUAGAUUUUCGUUAGAUUUUAAUGUUUUAACGCCAGUAAAAGUAGCAAAAUGAAUGUCAACCACAGAGGCCACCGCAAGAAAAAUAUUAGUGCCGAAAUGGAGAGAAUGUUCAACAGGUUACAGCCUGUAUGUAGAUGAGGAGGAACUGCCGCAGGCGGAAGGUUUUAAAUGCUUCUGAAUUUCUUACAUCAAAAAACAUGUAUUUUUCAUUUCAUUAAAAGAAAACAUGUAUUUUUUAAAAUGUAAAAUAUAAAAAAGGAUAAAUCA